rnacentral:lncRNA from 1 species
GCCCAGGUAUCUCCUUCAGGAUAAAAGACAAAUUGCUGUAGCUUGCAUCGUCUAUCACAAAGAAGAAAACAGCGCCUGCUAGGCCUCUUUGGGUUCUGGAGGCAACACAUUUCACAUCUACAAAGACUCCUCCUGCUUGUAUACCAGGGACAUCGGGACCCUCUGACAGACACCACGGCUCGGCCUCCCCACGGCCCCGGCUGGAGCUCUCUCAAGUCCGUGCUGCAGCCCGAGAGUCUGUCUGCCCAGUUCUUGCCCGUCUUCCUUCCCCAGUGGUCAGCCGUGCAUCAUGCCCUCCGCCUCAUCUCUCCUAAUCCAGCCUCAUCAUCUGCUUCUUUGAGGCUGUGAACUAACAGAGAUGCUCUUUGGAUUUAAAAGCUCUACCGCUGGACCAUUUCUCAAGGGGGCGAAGGUCUCUAAAGAAGUUUGAAAAUAUUAGAACAAAAUCGAUUUAGCUUUCUG